AAAAACAAACUAAAGUUGAGAAUAAUUUCCUGAGAAACUUUAACUUAGCCUUUAGGCUUCUUUACCAUAUUCUGUUGAAUCUAUUCCCUUAUCCCUGCCCUUUUCUUUGGUUGGGUGGGAGCUUUAGUGUGAGUGGGCACUUCAUAUUAAUGAUGCUUUUCAAUUAUGUAAUAUCUUCUAGGCCUUGUUUUCUGGUUAGUUUGGG
rnacentral:lncRNA from 1 species